rnacentral:tRNA from 2 species
CGGGACGUGGCGCAGCUUGGUUAGCGCACUGGUCUGGGGGACCAGGGGUCGCCGGUUCAAAUCCGGCCGUCCCGA